UGGGGAAUAUUGCGCAAUGGGGGGAACCCUGACGCAGCAACGCCGCGUGAAGGAAGAAGGUCUUCGGAUUGUAAACUUUUGUCGCAAAGGAAGAAGGAAUGACGGUACUUUGUGAGAAAGCCACGGCUAACUACGUGCCAGCAGCCGCGGUAAUACGUAGGUGGCGAGCGUUGUCCGGAUUUACUGGGUGUAAAGGGCGCGUAGGCGGGUGCGCAAGUCAGAUGUGAAAUACCGGAGCUUAACUCCGGGGCUGCAUUUGAAACUGCGGAUCUUGAGUGCCGGAGAGGGAAGCGGAAUUCCUAGUGUAGCGGUGAAAUGCGUAGAUAUUAGGAGGAACACCAGUGGCGAAGGCGGCUUUCUGGACGGUAACUGACGCUGAGGCGCGAAAGCGCGGGGAGCAAACAGG
rnacentral:rRNA from 1 species